rnacentral:rRNA from 1 species
GGCUCAGGAUGAACGCUAGCGGCAGGCCUAAUACAUGCAAGUCGAACGGUAACAGGUGUAGCAAUACAUGCUGACGAGUGGCGCACGGGUGCGUAACACGUAUGCAACUUUCCUUCAACUGGUGAAUAGCCCCUCGAAAGAGGGAUUAAUACACCAUAAUAUAAUGAGAUGGCAUCAUCUUAUUAUUAAAACUCCGGUGGUUGAAGAUGGGCAUGCGCAACAUUAGCUAGUUGGUGAGGUAAUGGCUCACCAAGGCUACGAUGUUUAGGGUUCUAAGAGGAUUAACCCCCACACUGGUACUGAGACACGGACCAGACUCCUACGGGAGGCAGCAGUAAGGAAUAUUGGACAAUGGUGGCAACACUGAUCCAGCCAUGCCGCGUGCAGGAUGAAGGCCCUAUGGGUUGUAAACUGCUUUUAUACGGGAAAAAACCUCUCUACGUGUAGAGAGCUGAUGGUACCGUAAGAAUAAGGAUCGGCUAACUCCGUG